rnacentral:rRNA from 1 species
CGCUGGCGGCAGGCCUAACACAUGCAAGUCGAGCGGUAACAGAAAGUAGCUUGCUACUUUGCUGACGAGCGGCGGACGGGUGAGUAAUGCUUGGGAACAUGCCUUGAGGUGGGGGACAACAGUUGGAAACGACUGCUAAUACCGCAUAACGUCUACGGACCAAAGGGGGCUUCGGCUCUCGCCUUUAGAUUGGCCCAAGUGGGAUUAGCUAGUUGGUGAGGUAAUGGCUCACCAAGGCGACGAUCCCUAGCUGGUUUGAGAGGAUGAUCAGCCACACUGGGACUGAGACACGGCCCAGACUCCUACGGGAGGCAGCAGUGGGGAAUAUUGCACAAUGGGCGCAAGCCUGAUGCAGCCAUGCCGCGUGUGUGAAGAAGGCCUUCGGGUUGUAAAGCACUUUCAGUCAGGAGGAAAGGUUAGUAGUUAAUACCUGCUAGCUGUGACGUUACUGACAGAAGAAGCACCGGCUAACUCCGUGCCAGCAGCCGCGGUAAUACGGAGGGUGCGAGCGUUAAUCGGAAUUACUGGGCGUAAAGCGUACGCAGGCGGUUUGUUAAGCGAGAUGUGAAAGCCCCGGGCUCAACCUGGGAACUGCAUUUCGAACUGGCAAACUAGAGUGUGAUAGAGGGUGGUAGAAUUUCAGGUGUAGCGGUGAAAUGCGUAGAGAUCUGAAGGAAUACCGAUGGCGAAGGCAGCCACCUGGGUCAACACUGACGCUCAUGUACGAAAGCGUGGGGAGCAAACGGGAUUAGAUACCCCGGUAGUCCACGCCGUAAACGAUGUCUACUAGAAGCUCGGAUCCUCGGCUCUGUUUUUCAAAGCUAACGCAUUAAGUAGACCGC